rnacentral:rRNA from 1 species
AUUGAACGCUGGCGGCAGGCCUAACACAUGCAAGUCGAGCGAGCGGCGGACGGGUGAGUAAUGUCUGGGAAACUGCCUGAUGGAGGGGGAUAACUACUGGAAACGGUAGCUAAUACCGCAUACCAUCAGAUGAACCCAGAUGGGAUUAGCUAGUAGGUGGGGUAACGGCUCACCUAGGCGACGAUCCCUAGCUGGUCUGAGAGGAUGACCAGCAACACGGGAACGGAGACACGGCCCAGACUCCUACGGGAGGAAGAAGUGGGGAAUAUUGCACAAUGGGCGCAAGCCUGAUGCAGCCAUGCCGCGUGUGUGAAGAAGGCCUGAGGGUUGUAAAGUACUUUCAGCGAGGAGGCGUUACCCGCAGAAGAAGCACCGGCUAACUCCGUGCCAGCAGCCGCGGUAAUAC